GACGAACGCUGGCGGCGUGCUUAACACAUGCAAGUCGAGCGGUAAGGCCCCUUUUGGGGGGUACACGAGCGGCGAACGGGUGAGUAACACGUGGGUGACCUGCCUUCAGCUCUGGGAUAAGCCUGGGAAACUGGGUCUAAUACCGGAUAUGACCUUUGCCUGCAUGGGUGGGGGUGGAAAGAUUUGUUUUGGCUGGGGAUGGGCCUGCGGUCUAUCAGCUUGUUGGUGGGGUGAUGGCCUACCAAGGCGACGACGGGUAGCCGGCCUGAGAGGGCGACCGGCCACACUGGGACUGAGACACGGCCCAGACUCCUACGGGAGGCAGCAGUGGGGAAUAUUGCGCAAUGGGCGGAAGCCUGACGCAGCGACGCCGCGUGGGGGAUGACGGCCUUCGGGC
rnacentral:rRNA from 1 species